rnacentral:rRNA from 1 species
UACGUAGGCAGCAAGCGUUGUUCGGAGUUACUGGGCGUAAAGGGUGUGUAGGCGGUUGGAUAAGUGUGGUGUGAAAUCUCCCGGCUUAACUGGGAGGGUGCGCUACAAACUGUCUGACUAGAGUGCGGGAUGGGAAAGUGGAAUUCCUGGUGUAGCGGUGAAAUGCGUAGAUAUCAGGAGGAACACCGGUGGUGUAGACGGCUUUCUGGACCGUAACUGACGCUGAAACACGAAAGCGUGGGUAGCAAACAGG